rnacentral:rRNA from 1 species
AACGAACGCUGGCGGCAUGCCUAACACAUGCAAGUCGAACGAGACCUUCGGGUCUAGUGGCGCACGAGUGCGUAACGCGUGGGAACCUGCCCUUAGGUUCGGAAUAACUCCCCGAAAGGGGUGCUAAUACCGGAUAAUGUCUUCGGACCAAAGAUUUAUCGCCUUUGGAUGGGCCCGCGUUGGAUUAGCUAGUUGGUAGGGUAAAAGCCUACCAAGGCGACGAUCCAUAGCUGGUCUGAGAGGAUGAUCAGCCACACUGGGACUGAGACACGGCCCAGACUCCUACGGGAGGCAGCAGUGGGGAAUAUUGGACAAUGGGCGAAAGCCUGAUCCAGCAAUGCCGCGUGAGUGAUGAAGGCCUUAGGGUUGUAAAGCUCUUUUACCCGGGAUGAUAAUGACAGUACCAGGAGAAUAAGCUCCGGCUAACUCCGUG